AAUUGUUUAUGUAGUGUUUUAAUUCAAGAUGCUUAUUUAAGUGCUGCGUGACGUGUUUUAAUGGGCGCGCGCGCUGAGUUGCCAUAGAAACGGGCCAGCAACACCAACUGACAAGUUUAAGAACUCCGUCUCUCACUGUUGGUUUCAAUGCUUUCAGAAAUGGCUCCGGAGUCUUCGAAAAAGUCCGUUAGCAUCUCAACCGUUUUCCGAAGAGAUUCUUCCAUGCUGAUGGCCGUGCAGCAGAAUAGGAGCAGACCUCAAUCAUACACUAAUGUUCAAAAGUUUGAGGAUGCUACCCAGUCCCAACCAUUCAUCAGAAGGACUGUGAAAGGGGGAACUGUUUAAACCACCAGUGGCGGUUUCCACAGGAUAGUUGUGGAUGAGGGGGGUACUGAUAUUAACACGUUGUAUUCACUGUAUUACACACUAUAGUGUGUAUAUAUUUUUUAAAUUCACUGUGACCAUUGAGUACUCAGACUUGACAUUGACGGAUGACAUUGAAGAUGUUUGCAGUGAUCGAGUCUCAGACAGUGUCAAGUCUUAAUACUCCAGUACUUGUGCACACCCCUAUUAAACGCACACACACUGUAUCAAGGUAUGAUGUAUACUGCAAUGAUGUAUAAUGUAAAUGCAAUAAAUAUUUUAAUCAUA